rnacentral:rRNA from 1 species
UACGUAGGGGGCAAGCGUUAUCCGGAUUUACUGGGUGUAAAGGGAGCGUAGGCGGCGAUGCAAGUCAGAAGUGACAGCCCGGGGCUCAACUCCGGGACUGCUUUUGAAACUGUGUUGCUAGAUUGCAGGAGAGGUAAGUGGAAUUCCUAGUGUAGCGGUGAAAUGCGUAGAUAUUAGGAGGAACACCAGUGGCGAAGGCGGCUUACUGGACUGUAAAUGACGCUGAGGCUCGAAAGCGUGGGGAGCAAACAGG